rnacentral:lncRNA from 1 species
AUAGUAUUUUCGAAGGGAUUGUUUCCACUUAUUUAAAUACAAUUGAAUUCUCUAAAUAUAGAGAAAUUCUAAACCUUAGUUGAGUUUAAGAUUUUAAAAUAUUGUAAUGGGCCUAUGGAAACAUAAUUUUGGUAUUACUGGUUUUGAUUUAACUUAGGAACCCCACAACAUACAGGAAAAUAGAAUACAUAUCCUGCUCACAUUCUUUCCAUUUGUGAAAUUCGUUACUCUGAUUGUGCAUGAUUAAAGCCUAACACAAAUCAUAUAAUAUUGCUAUAUAUUUUUAAAAUGUGUGUUUUUCUUCUUUAUCUUUGCUUUAGAGAACAGCCUUUAAGAGCUGGAAGAUGAAAGCUCCGAUUCCUCACUUGAUUCUCUUAUAUGCUACUUUUACUCAGAGUUUGAAGGUAGUGACCAAAAGAGGUUCUGCAUAUGGGAUCUUAGUUUCCUGCUGCUGCUGCUCCUAAGUCACUUCAGUCGUGUCCGACUCUGUGCGACCCCAUAGACGGCAGCCCACCAGGCUCCCCUGUCCCUGGGAUUCUCCAGGCAAGAACACUGGAGUGGGUUGCCAUUUCCUUCUCCAAUGCGUGAAAGUGAAAAGUGAAAGUGAAGUUGCUGAGUCGUGUCCGACUCUUUGUGACCCCAUGGACUGCGGCCUACCAGGCUCCUCCAUCCAUGGGAUUUUCCUGACCAAGGAUUAAACCUGUGACCCCUACACGGAAGCACAGAACCUUAACCACUGGGCAACUAGAGAAAUCCCUAAAUCUAUAUGUCGGCACAAAUUGGAAGUGCUGAUCUAAGGAAUAAGGCUUGCAGAUAUUGCUCAUGUCAGAAGAAACAAAACUGACUUCAAAGAGUUUUUACUAUGUUUCUCUAGUAGAAACUUUCUAUCUUACAUUCUUUUCACUAUAAACACUUGAGUUUAAUAAACCAAAAAGGAAUUUUUGAAGCCA